ACCGUCGUGAGACAGGUUAGUUUUACCCUACUGUUGACUUAUUGUUGCGAUAGUAAUCCUGCCUAGUACGAGAGGAACAGCAGGUUCAGACAUUUGGUUCAUGGACUUGACCGAUCGGUCAAUGGUCCGAAGCUAACAUCUGGGGGAUUAUGACUGAACGCCUCUAAGUCAGAAUCCCACCUAGUCAAGGCAACGAUAACUUUGUUUCCUGGUGUCGGGAGGCAAUUCUAUCUCGUGGCAACAUGAGAGCUUAUGCCCUAGUAAAUGACCUUGCCGGUAUGGAUAAUCCCUGCUGGUUGUCAAAGCCAGAUCACUCUGGUUCAAUGUCGGGGCGCAAAAUCACAUGUUUACGACAUGUAUACUGGUCAAGGUGUUGUAUUCAGUAGAGCAGUGUUUGUAUACUGCGAUCUGUUGAGACUAUCCUUUGAUAGGGUGUUUUG
rnacentral:rRNA from 1 species